rnacentral:rRNA from 1 species
CCAAUAGCGUAUAUUAAAGUUGUUGCAGUUAAAAAGCUCGUAGUUGAAUUUCGGGAUCAAUACGUCGGUCGUGCUUUCGGGUACGUACUGGCGUCAUUGGUUUCUCCUUUCUGACGAACCAUGAUGUCAUUAAUUUGGUGUUAUGGUGAGUUAGGACUGUUACUUUGAAAAAAUUAGAGUGUUUAAAGCAGGCAUUAGCUUGAAUACAUUAGCAUGGAAUAAUGAAAUAGGACGUUCGAUCCUAUUUUGUUGGUUUCUAGGAUCAACGUAAUGAUUAAUAGGGAUAGUUGGGGGCAUUAGUAUUCAAUUGUCAGAGGUGAAAUUCUUGGAUUUAUUGAAGACUAACUACUGCGAAAGCAUUUGCCAAGGAUGUUUUCAUUAAUCAAGAACGAAAGUUAGGGGAUCGAAGACGAUCAGAUACCGUCGUAGUCUUAACCAUAAACUAUGCCGACUAGGGAUCGGAUGAUGUUAAUUUUUUAAUGACUCAUUCGGCGCCUUACG